rfam:Felis catus isolate Cinnamon breed Abyssinian chromosome A1, whole genome shotgun sequence.
GCCUGAGUGGCUCAAUCAGUUAAGCGUCUGACUUUGGCUCAGGUCAUGAUCUCGCGGUUUGUGGGUUCGAGUCCCACAUCGGGCU